rnacentral:rRNA from 1 species
CAAUAGCGUAUAUUAAAGUUGUUGCAGUUAAAAAGCUCGUAGUUGGAUUUCUGGUGGGAGCGAUCGGUCUGGCGCUUAGCGCGAGUACUUGCAUCGUCUCCGGCCAUCCUUGGGGAGAGUCUGUCUGGCAUUAAGUUGUCGGGCAGAGGAUCCUCAUCGUUUACUGUGAAAAAAUUAGAGUGUUCAAAGCAGGCUUAUGCCGUUGAAUAUAUUAGCAUGGAAUAAUAAGAUAGGACUUUGGUACUAUUUUGUUGGUUUGCGCACCAAAGUAAUGAUUAAUAGGGACAGUUGGGGGUAUUCGUAUUCCGUUGUCAGAGGUGAAAUUCUUGGACUUACGGAAGACGAACUACUGCGAAAGCAUUUACCAAGGAUGUUUUCAUUAA